AUGCACGCUGGCGGCGUGCCUCAUCCCUGCAAGUCGCGCGCACAGACGAGGAGCUUGCUCCUCUGACGUUAGCGGCGGACGGGUGAGUAACACGUGGAUAACCUACCUAUAAGACUGGGAUAACUUCGGGAAACCGGAGCUAAUACCGGAUAAUAUAUUGAACCGCAUGGUUCAAUAGUGAAAGACGGUUUUGCUGUCACUUAUAGAUGGAUCCGCGCCGCAUUAGCUAGUUGGUAAGGUAACGGCUUACCAAGGCAACGAUGCGUAGCCGACCUGAGAGGGUGAUCGGCCACACUGGAACUGAGACACGGUCCAGACUCCUACGGGAGGCAGCAGUAGGGAAUCUUCCGCAAUGGGCGAAAGCCUGACGGAGCAACGCCGCGUGAGUGAUGAAGGUCUUCGGAUCGUAAAACUCUGUUAUUAGGGAAGAACAAAUGUGUAAGUAACUAUGCACGUCUUGACGGUACCUAAUCAGAAAGCCACGGCUAACUACGUG
rnacentral:rRNA from 1 species